GUUAUUUUUUUAUCCAAAUUUAAAGCACACUGGUGAACACAUAUUUUGGAUUCAGGAUCGCAUUCUUUCUUUAAGACAAAAAGGACUAUCCACCAGCUUCAAGUAAUACUCCAGAGAUGAACAAGGAGUUAGAGCACUCUACUGAUGUGGCAGGUUUUAAUGAAGCAGAGAUUGGUGUGACCUCCUGGAGCAGAGAAAUGGUGUUGACUCUUAUAAGUCUCCACACUCAUUAUGAACAUAAGUUAAUUUCUCAAAAACAUAAAAAGAAAGAAGUAUGGGCAGAAAUUACAAAUUAACUGAUCAAGAUCUGCAAAAUGUCAGUAACGGUGCAACAGACUGAGCAUAAGUGGAAAAAUAUUACAAAGAAAUAUAUAGAAACUGUUGCCCAUAACAGUGUAUUUGGCAACAGUCCCCGCACUUGUUCUUUCUACAAGCUUUCAGAAGUGUACAGAUUGAAGCCCAGUGUCGAGACGGUAUCUGUAGCAUCAAAGGCAUGUGGUAUUAACAAAAGGAAAUCAGGAAAGUCAUCAAGCAUCCCGGCAAAGAGGGUUGUAGGAAGUGACACCACAGAAGACAGUCAUGUUUCUAAUGUGAAGAAA